rnacentral:tRNA from 1 species
GAAAAGUUAGCAAAUAUAGUAAGCAAAUGGUAUUCUAAACCAUUUAUAAUAAGUGCAAUUCUUUUACUUUUCG